rnacentral:rRNA from 1 species
UACGUAGGGGGCUAGCGUUGUCCGGAUUUAUUGGGCGUAAAGAGCGUGUAGGCGGCCAUGUAGGUCCGGUGUGAAAACUCGAGGCUUAACCUCGAGAUGUCAUCGGAAACCAUUUGGCUAGAGUCCGGAAGAGGAGAGUGGAAUUCCUGGUGUAGCGGUGAAAUGCGCAGAUAUCAGGAAGGACACCAAUGGCGAAAGCAGCUCUCUGGGACGGUACUGACGCUGAGACGCGAAAGCGUGGGGAGCGAACAGG